rnacentral:rRNA from 1 species
AUGAAUGCUGGCGGUGUGCCUAAUACAUGCAAGUCGAGCGGAAAGGCCCCUUCGGGGGUACUCGAGCGGCGGACGGCUGAGUAACGCGUAGGAAUGUACCCCAAACUGAGGGAUAAUUCACCGAAAGGUGGACUAAUACCGCAUGUGCUCUUCGGAGUAAAGCUUCGGCGGUUUGGGAACAGCCUGCGUCCGAUUAGGUAGUUGGUGAGGUAAUAGCUCACCAAGCCUACGAUCGGUAGCUGGUCUGAGAGGAUGAUCAGCCAGACUGGGACUGAGACACGGCCCAGACUCCUACGGGAGGCAGCAGUAGGGAAUUUUCCACAAUGGGCGAAAGCCUGAUGGGAGCAACACCGCGUGCAGGG